GCUCGGGCGGCCUUCCUCGGGCGGUGCGCUUCGAGCUCCAUCCCGGCCUUCGGGCGGCCCCGGCCGGCGCCUUCGGACGGGCUCGGUGGAGUCCGGAUGGAGGACUCGGACUCGGCCGCCAAGCAGCUGGGCCUGGCCGAAGCGGCAGCCGUGGCGGCCGCGGCCGCUGUAGCGGCGGCGGCCGCGGCCGCGGCGGGAGGCGAGGCGGAGGAACCGGUGCUCAGCAGGGACGAGGACUCGGAGGAGGACGGGGACGCGGAGGCGGAGCGCGAGACGCGGCGGGUGACGGCCGUGGCGGUGAUGGCCGCUGAGCCCAGGCACAUGGACAUGGGCACCGAGGCCCUUCCUGGCCCCGACGAGGCUGCCGCGGCCGCCGCCUUCGCAGAGGUGACCACUGUGACGGUGGCCAAUGUGGGUGCCUCGGCGGACAACGUCUUCACCACGUCGGUGGCGAACGCCGCCUCGCUGUCGGGACACGUUCUGUCUGGUAGAACCGCGCUGCAGAUCGGGGACAGCCUGAACACGGAAAAGGCCACGCUGAUCGUGGUGCACACGGACGGCAGCAUCGUGGAGACUGCCGGGCUGAAGGCGCCAGCUGCUCCCCUCACCCCAGGUCCUCAGUCUCCUCCAACUCCUCUAGCUCCCGGCCAGGAGAAGGGCGGCAGCAAAUACAACUGGGACGCGUCCGUGUACGACAGCGAGCUGCCCGUGCGCUGCCGUAACAUCAGCGGCACCCUGUACAAGAGCCGGCUGGGCUCCGGCGGCCGCGGGCGCUGCAUCAAGCAGGGGGAGAACUGGUACAGCCCCACGGAGUUUGAGGCCAUGGCGGGGAGAGCCAGCAGCAAAGACUGGAAAAGGAGCAUCCGCUACGCGGGGCGGCCGCUGCAGUGCCUCAUCCAGGACGGGAUCUUGAACCCUCAUGCGGCCUCUUGCACCUGUGCUGCCUGCUGUGAUGACAUGACGUUGAGCGGUCCUGUCCGGCUCUUUGUCCCCUACAAGCGGCGCAAGAAGGAGAAUGAACUCCCCACAGCUCCAGUGAAGAAGGAAGCCGCCAAGAACAUCACGCUGCUGCCAGCCACCGCGGCCACCACCUUUACUGUGACCCCCUCAGGACAGAUCACUACCUCUGGCGCACUGACCUUUGACCGGGCGUCCACGGUGGAGGCCACUGCCGUCAUCUCAGAAAGCCCCGCCCAGGGUGACGUCUUCGCAGGAGCCACAGUGCAAGAAGCCAGCGUGCAGCCUCCGUGCAGGGUAGGCCCCACAGAGCCCCACUUCCCUGGGUACCAGGACAGCUGCCAGGUUGCACCGUUCCCAGAAGCUGCACUGCCAACAGCUCAUCCCAAAAUCGUGUUGACAUCCUUGCCGGCCCUGGCAGUCCCGCCCUCCAACCCCAGCAAACCCAUUUCUCCCAUCAUGGUCAACGGGCUGGAGAUGUCGGAACAGCGGCACUGGCUGUACCUGGAGGAGAUGGUCAACUCCUUGCUGAACACGGCGCAGCAGCUGAAGACGCUGUUUGAGCAGGCUAAGCAGGCCAGCUCCUACCGGGAGGCCGCCGCAGCCCACGCCCGAGCCCAGGCGGACGCAGAGCGGAAGGAGAUUCGAUGUGACACUCUCAAUUUCAUCGAAAGCUGAGCACGUAACCUGGUGAGAUGCAUCCGUCCUCGUCUCAGAAUCACAGGCCGAGUGGCCCCGUGCAGCCCGGACACGUGGACAUGCUCCUGUGGGAACCCUGGUAAACAGCUGUGCGUGUAGACGGGUGUCAGCCACACAGCACUGCGUGUUUCACCUUUUAGCACGAAGGUCUGACCUUCGUGGCCUGGGAUGACCACAGCACCUGGACGCCAGGUUCUUGUGAAAUGAUGGGCUCUCAAGUGACAGUCAACUGCUUGGAGAGUCCCCUCUCCAGGGGUUUUACAGGGGCUGGAGGCUCAGAAGUGCCAAAGGCCCGGAUUUGAGCCAUGUAUGAGGGAGGAAGGAACCCAGAGUGCACCCCUGAAACAUGCUGACUGCGGUGACCUGGGGGUGCCGGUGCAAGCAUGUGUGUGGUCCAGGUGUGCAUAUGCGUGUGGCCCAGGUAUAUGCACGUGUGUGGCCCAGGUGUGCGUGCGCAUGUGGUCCAGGCGUGUCAGACGUGCUGAGUGGUUUUCUUCCAAGGGCCUUGCUGUGACAUGAAUGACAGCUUGCGUGGGAGUGAAUUCCCCAUCCCUGAGCCCAUCCCAUUGGAGGGCGUAAAACUUCUUAUGCCAUUAAAUGUUGCAGGUACUUUUGUUUGAUUAUAACGCUGGGAAGAGUUUGGGGUCAGAAAGGCAAGUCCUGGAAGCUUUCAGUGGGAGGUGUGAGAACCCGUCCCACACUGUCUUCCUGAGUGGGCAGGUGGGGGACAGAGUCAGGAGAGGAAAGGUUGCAGGGGUCAGAAAGGGGUCACGAGCCCAUGGCCAGUGCAGGGGCCAGCUGCCCACUUCACCUUGUGUCUGGGAUUUAAAACCCAGGUCAUGCAGCUGAGACUGUCAGGGAGGUCGUUACAGCUGUGACUGAGUGCUGCGUUCAUGUGUGCCGUUGGUGCGUCGAGAUUAAGCGGGGUGGAGAGCAGUGCCCGUGGCAAGGGCACCGCGUCCAGUGGGGAAGGCCGUAGGGUCUUGGGCUGCCUGCCCCCGAAACAUCUGCGGGAGGCUGCCUGCCCACCCGCCUUGCUCUCCCUGGAGACAGCUGUGCAGUGGCUUCGUUUGCUUUUCCUUGAAGUGGUUUGUCAUUCCAAGUAGAAGGGACAGAGCGCAUCGGGCCACAGACCCACCUGGCGCCGCCGUGUUGUCUGAAGUGCAUGCACACGGAUGCUGCAGGUGCUUUACGAGUGGAAAACAGUCGCAGUAAAUAGUGUUUUGCAAAGAAGGAAUUCAUACGGGAACCCUACGAGGUCCCUGGAGUUUGGAGGACGGCUAACGGUGUGGUGCCCAUCCCACCUCCCGGUCAGUGACCACAAAGCUUGUUGGAUAGAGGAGCUGACUCUGGAGGUGACAGGAGUGGGCACGUGGGCAGCACCGGGGACGGGACACACGUCAGAGCCCUAUGGUCCCUGCAUCUCCCCACACUGACCAGCUCUUAUGCCCUUGCAGCAAUCCUGCGUCAACUGUGGCCGGGAGGCCAUGAGCGAGUGCACCGGCUGCCACAAAGUCAACUACUGCUCGACCUUCUGCCAGCGCA